GCCAUGUGAGUCAUACGGGCUGCAGAGGCUGGUCCCCACAGGCCCAGUAGGAUAGGUUGGCCCUGCCCCAGGGAGACCUUUUAUCUGAUAGGGAGCACUCAGCUCUUGCCUUGAGCAGCCAGCCUCCCAUUUGAUAGGCAGAAAGAUAUGUCACUGCUGAAGGGAGCUCUCGCCCUGGGCAGACCACCCUUCCCCAGGAGCAUCUCCAAUUUAUUGGCCUGGGAGGUCUGCUGAUAGAGAUGUCGCUUCUUCCAGGAAAAGGCCCCCUUCAAGGAUCAGUCUGAACUCCUGGUGUCCGGUCUCACUCUUUUCCACAGCCUAGGCUGAGUCUGAGGAAGCUACACGCCUCUUGCUGACUGACAGUCACUCUGUGAGGCCCAACCUCAGUGUCCGGAUGGAGAGACAGUAGGGGUCACUGAGGUCACAGCUGUGCCUGCCUCAGGCGCUCUAUCCACCCUCACAGUCUCCUGCCACCUCCCAGAGGCUCCACUCUGGACUUGCCAGAAUCUAGGGCCGGCAGCUGGCCAACAACCAAAAGAAAAAAAACCAACAAAAAACCCCCAUAUAUGCAAGUUCCUUGACCUCCUUCCCCGCUUCUCCGGGGACUCUGGAGAGCUCCCGAGUUGAAGACAAAUAAGAACAAAGGGUGUGUUUUGUCACAGGCCCAAAUAAGUUUUCCAUCUCUUCUUUCUUAAGUUGCUUUCCCUUUGGCCCAAGCCUCAGAUCCUCCCUGAAGGCUGGGACUCUGGCCUCUGCUGCAGCCCUAGGUCAUUCAUUUACAUUGGACCCAUCUGCGUUUGCCGUGCAGCCAGGAGCAGAGUAGCCAGAAUGUCUGGCUUCUGGGUUUGUCAGGGAUGGCCCCUGGGCCCUAAACCUCAGAGUCUGAAAUCCCAAAUGGAAGCCUCAUCGCUUUCAGGCAAGAUUCCUGGGGUCCAGACUUGGAUGCCUGUGACCCCCCCGGGGGGGGGGGAGCUGCCCACAGCUGCAGAGUGAGAUAGGAACUGAGUUGGACACCCCCUCCCCGCACCCCUUCCCGGCCCAGUACUCCUACUGUACCACAUAGAUAAGCAAGCAAUCCUCUCGGCAGAGAUGCCAGGCCUAUACAUGUGCCUAAACAUCACUUGGUCGGUCAAAGCUUAGCAAGGACUGAGAUUUCCCUAGAUGGAAGGGAGGUCCCUUCUGGCCCUUCUCUACCCAGGGAGAGGGGGUGGGGUGUGCCCCACUCUAUUCAAAGCAAUGCUUCUCUUUGAGCAUGUUUGGCCUGGCAGCCACCCAACUACUGCCUCUCAGCCAGUGACCAGUCCUUAGGGUGUGAAGAGGGAAUUAUUUUGAGGGAGAGAGGGGGACAAGGGAAGGUGAAAGCAAGGCUGGGGUCCUGUGGUGUCUACCUAGGACAGGUCCAUUCUUUACUAAGAACAAUCUGCUGCUUGCUUUAAAUCCCCUCAGGACACAGAGUAGCUGCACUAGGCUUUCUUACAUCCUGUUGUAACUCUUAAGACUCUCCCAGACCACCAUCACCAAAGCAAACCUUUAACCUUCUAGCAAAUGGUACCAGGUGGCUCCUUCUGCGGUCAUCCCCUCUCCACCCCCAGCAGGAAAGAGGGAGGGUGGUAGUUAUCUUAAUGGCCAAUGAAGGUUAUAGGUCUCCAGAAAAGAAUCCUCUGUGACGUGGGGUGGGGGAAGGGUAGGGAGAAUGACUAGGAACAGGAAUUGGGGGAGGGGGAGAAGAGUGCUUUCCUUGGGAGGGGCCAGGAAGGAAGGAACUGCCCAUGUGCUGGUAGGCUGAAACCCUGUCCUCUUUGACCUUGGCCCCGAGGAGAUCCUGCCAGUUUGAGGUCCUAGUCUCAAGUCCUGCCUGGCCACGGCUGUUUUUUCAUAACCCCAGGCCCUAUGCAUGUGGUAUUGCCUGCUGCACCCUCUCUCCAGGGUCCCAAAAGGGACUAGAGAAGGGCAGGAGCUACGGAGGGCAGGAAUGGGGAAGCUAGAAGUUUGGGGCGGGAAGGAUAGUGGAGUCCUGAGUCCCAGCAGGCAACUGAUGAUUGGAAGGGUUCUAGGCAGAAAGUGUAGUCCUGCACAUGCAAGCUCCCAGGAAUUGGUGGAAUCUCUCCAGGCCUCAGUUUCCCCCUCUGUACAGUGGUGUUGCUAAGGCUUACCUUUUGGAAUGGUAUCAGGAAACUGUCUGAAAUGUGGCGAGGGCUUAGCAAACGCCCACUCGCUUUGAUUUCCCUUUCCAACUCUGAUGUACCAACCCCAUCCUCACCCCACCAACUCUGAGAAGGAAAGGAAAACUUCCCAACUCUGUGAACUAGAAACCAGCCCUUCAUGCACAGAGAGGAGCAGGUACUUGGGCCCGAGGGUCCAGAGGCAGAACAUAUGAAUCUAGUAUGCCCAGUAAAAUUUGAACAUGAAAAUAUAAAUACAGUUCCUUAUUACUCAUCUGAGUUCAAUUUUAUCUAGGCAUCCCGCAUUUCUCUGACAAUCAGGUAGUCCCAACUGCUAGCUAUGAAUGCACUAAGUUAGCUCCUACCUUGGGAGUAGGAGAAGGUAAGACCCAGCCAGAAAGAAGCAACCCCAGAACUCAGGCUCAAGUGUUUCUGGGCCUGCUCACUUCCCACUGCAUGCCCACGGGUUAUCUAGCACUUGGUAGUCCGGGAUGGCUCUCCUUUGCAACCCAGGAAGGACUGACCCUUGUGUGAGGGAGGAGGAAGGAUCAGAACUGAGUACCAUGACUUGGUUGUGACAACUGACAACUGAUAUUGGAGCCUCAAGCCUCAGACUCCAGUGUCCUCUCUGCUCUGGCCUGCUGUGAGAGAGGGAGAGGAGGGAAAGGAGGAAGGAGAAGAGAGAAGGACUGUGAUAUAGGUCAGAGGCAUCACUCAUGGCUCUGGGUUCAAAUCCCCCUCUGGAAAGGAAGUAGCAGGAAGGGGAGAGAACACAGGGCAGCUUCCAACAGGAGAAACUGGGCAGAGUACACAAUGGGCUGUGAUGAAAUGUUCAAAAUAGACAGAACAGCAGAUUAGUGGUUGCCAGGGCUGGCAGCAGUGCACAAUGAGGAGCUAACUGCUAAUGGGCAUGGUAUUUCUUCAGAGGAAAACUAAACGUUCUGGAAGGAGGGAUUAGCUUGUGGUAAUGGUUGGACAAUUCUACAAAUAUACUAAACUGCAUUGAAUUGGAUACUUUAAAUGGGUAAAUUGCAUGGUGUGUUAAUUCUAAAUAAAACUAGUUGUUUUUCUUUUUU
rnacentral:lncRNA from 1 species